UACGUAGGUGGCAAGCGUUGUCCGGAUUUAUUGGGUUUAAAGGGUGCGUAGGCGGUCUAUUAAGUCAGCGGUGAAAUACUCCAGCUUAACUGGAGGGGUGCCAUUGAUACUGAUGGACUUGAGUCAAGUCGAGGUAGGCGGAAUUGACGGUGUAGCGGUGAAAUGCUUAGAUAUCGUCAAGAACACCAAUAGUGAAGACAGCUUACUGGGCUUAAACUGACGCUAAGGCACGAAAGUGUGGGGAUCAAACAGG
rnacentral:rRNA from 1 species